GAACAAUGUGUGAAAUGAAGGACUUCAGGUGCUACGCUGGUUUCUGACAGUUCCUCAGAAGGAAGCACUUUCUGCCUGUUCUAUUCAAUCCCAGUCCAGAUAGGUGUCUGACAUGUGUUAAGCCCAAGAAUCAUGGCCACAAACAAGUUUCCUUUCUACAUGCUCAUGUUCAAGGAUCAAAGUCAGGAUUACCUCCUACCAGAUAGGAGGGCUACCCAUCUUGGUGGUCCAGGCGUUGCCGAGAACCAGCUUGCUUGGAGCUCAGUCGUCUGCUUGGUUAGCAAACAUUCCUGCUUCACAGUUGGGGAGUCGUAAGUGAAGUCGCUGAAGACUAGUUGACACAGAGUUGCCCCCUGAUGCCAUUCCUGUGCCCAAAGCCACAGAAAACAGAAAUAAUAGGGCCUUCUCCCCAGAGGACUGUAUUCCUUGACAUUACUGCUUGCCUGUCCAGAGAACCCUCGAUCGCCGUUCUGUCUAGUAUAGGCCAGUGGGGAGGUGGCUUGUGGGAAGCUGCCAGCCAGUGGCCAGCAGAGCCCAGGUGGGAACCCUACCCUCCAGACUUCAUUCCUGCUGCCUCUCGAUGGAUCGAGGUCCUAGUAGGUAAUGCUGUGCCUCCUCCUGUUUCCUGUUGCUAAGGCAACUGGGUGAACAUAAAACAGAAACAGUCCACGUGGUCUUGCUGCCUCGACCCACACAGUCAUCUCACCCAGAGAGCCACAGUCAGACGGAUCGAUCUGGGCCGAGCACAUGUUUUGGGGUAAGGAACCUCCCGAGGAGAAACACCUGAGCUGUGGGGAGGUCAAUAUUCUCUGAACACUCUUCCCGGGCAGACAAGGUGUUGAAGCCAGGGAAUGGUGGGGGGUAGAGAGUGAGGAGUUGAAAUGGCUGGAGUGUGCCAGUUGGCAGAAUGUGACAAGGGCUGAAAUUGUCCGAGGCCAGGGUUCUAGCUGCCCGUUCUUAGUUACAGAAUGAGAGAGCAGGGGGCAUGGCCACCAACCCUCACCUCUGAAAUCUGUGCCUCUAGCUUUCCUGCUUUCCCCCAAGAGGGCCCUUCGGAGCUUUUAGACAAGGGUCUUUCUUAAGGAGUAAUACGAUACCAUGGGGAUAAGGGGAAGGCCAUCUGAGAACCAGGCAGCUCUCAGCACCGUGCCACAGAGCUGGGAGACAGUCACACGAGAGGAGUGCAGGGCAGACCAUCCCACAGCUGUCUACUGUUAGGCCUUCCUUCAACUUCAAGGCUCAACUCAAUGAUGACCUUCUCCAAAAGCCUCUUCAAAUCCGUCUGGACAGGAAAUAACACUCCUCCUCUCUCUUCUCCCGUAUUUUCAUCCAUGCCUCCCUGUGCAUUCGGCACCUGUUUACCAUGUACUCACCCUUUGAAUGACUUUUAUUGCACACAUACUAAUAUAUGCUCAUUGAAGGAAAAAUCAGAAAUGCAGAUACCCACAAAGAAGAAAAUAAAAACCACUCUUAAACCUGCCACCUGGAGAUAAUCACUGCUGAUGUUUGGGGUGUCAGCACUAUUCAGGCACAUGUCUUUUUUAAUGCCUACAUUCAGCUCUUCAAAAGCCAAGUCCACACCUUGCCCCGUCUCUGUACGCUCACAGCCACCGUAGUGCUUUGCAUUCAACGGUGGGUGAAUAAAGAGGUGGAGGGGUGGACAGAAGGAUGGAGACAAGGUUCUCCUACCCAAAAGUGGCCUCAACAAAGGAACUAAAAAGGGAAGAGAAGGUCACAUGCAGCCCCCCACCCCUCCCCUCCACUCCCAUCAGAGCCGAAUCAAUGCCAGGAAGUGAGCGGUGCACAGAGAACAGGCCAGACCUGCGCAAUGAUCAUUAGUGGAAAGACGGAGAUCCCUGCCGUGUGACUUGGAAAUGUCGGCCAUGGCUUAAGGGAAAAGAGGAUGCAUGGAAAUAGCCAAGUCAAGGUCGCCACAUGUGUGAGGUAUUUUAGGCUCAGCAAGCAAUCUGGCAAAUUCAAAGCCUCUCGUAAAUGACUUCCAAGAAAUCUGCUUUUAGCUGUGCCAUUGACAUGGGAGUACAUCCCUAUGACUUGCCCCUCACUGGGUUGAAGAUUAUCAUUGAUUUAUCUGGAGCAGAAACAGCAGGAUUCCACAUCACCUCUUGGAAGGCAGCCGGGGCAAAAGCAGGGAAUUAACAA